GGCGCCACGAACCCAGCCUGCUCCUCAACCCUCUCUCGGGUGGGGGCCUCACUGUUUGUGCUUUGUUUGAUGUUGGGUGGGGGGGUCAGAAAGAGGGAAGUGGCCAUUGCCACGGAAACAUGGGAGCCCCUCUGGCCAGGGGGCCAGGCCUGGAUGAGCAGCCCAGAGGGGAUGGCCCUCCAGGCAUCACAGUGCACCGCUGCCCUUCUGCGGUGGGCAGGGGUCUCGGAGGACCAGAGAAGCUGGGGCCGGGAGCCUGCACCUGAGACGUCCUGGGAGCUGGCCUGCCCGCCACACGCCCCACUCUUCCCAGGCCACGUGGAAGACACUUGAAGUGGGCUGGUGGAAUGUCGCCCUGCCUCGGCUCCUUUCCCGUCAACAGGACCCUCUCCCUUCUCCCGGGUGCCGGCAUAGGGGUCAAAAGCCCCCCAGGAUUCUGAAUCACAGCUGCACACUCUGGGGGCACUGCCAUGUGGCUUUCUAGGAAGAAAAAGCACCUGCCUGAUUCCCAAGUCCCUCAGCCCCAAGGGACCACAGCUUCGGAAAGGGAUGUGGGGUGGGCACAGGGCGGGCAGGGGUCCACAAGAGAGCUGCAGGGGGUUCCGGGACAGCACUGGGCUGGGAAGUUGGGGGACUUGAGGCUAAGCUGCUGUGUGACCCUGGGGUUGUCAACUCCCUUCUCUGGGCCUCAGUUUCCCCCCCUCUCUAAAGUGGAAGGAGACAUUGCCCGAUGUCUAAUGCUAAAUCUGCAGGUGACUUGACUCCCAGCUUGGGAAGGGACCCUCUCCCUGCCCUAGAGGGGCUUCAGUCCCUCUCUACUCCAGCUUUCUUGACCCCCACACCUGUUUCUAGCCCCAGACCCCCCAGACCCCACACCCUCUCUUGGCUUCCUUCCUCCCCCCGCCAGCCCCCCGGCCCUGCACACCCCAGCAGAGUCCCUGGGCAGCACAGUAAAGACGACUGGUUUCGGUAUCAGUUUGUAAACUUUAAGGAAAAUGUGUCUCUGUUUUCCUGUCCGUUAUUGUCGGAUGUUGGUUUGUUCACAGUCGGGUGGUGGUCAGGUGUGUGUGUGCGUGCGUGCGUGCGGGUCUGCAUGUGCGUCCUCUCCUGGGCCUUGGCCCCCGAGUCUGCUCCCCGCCC
rnacentral:lncRNA from 10 species